UACGUAGGGUGCAAGCGUUGUCCGGAAUUAUUGGGCGUAAAGAGCUCGUAGGCGGUUUGUCGCGUCUGCUGUGAAAACCCGAGGCUCAACCUCGGGCCUGCAGUGGGUACGGGCAGACUAGAGUGCGGUAGGGGAGAUUGGAAUUCCUGGUGUAGCGGUGGAAUGCGCAGAUAUCAGGAGGAACACCAAUGGCGAAGGCAGACUCUGGGCCGUAACUGACGCUGAGGAGCGAAAGCAUGGGGAGCGAACAGG
rnacentral:rRNA from 1 species